UGCCAGCAGCCGCGGUAAUACGGAGGGUGCAAGCGUUAUUCGGAAUCAUUGGGCGUAAAGGGCGCGUAGGCGGUUUUUUAAGUCAGAUGUGAAAGCCCGGGGCUUAACCCCGGAAGUGCAUUUGAAACUGAAAGACUUGAGUAUGGGAGAGGGAAGUGGAAUUCCUGGUGUAGAGGUGAAAUUCGUAGAUAUCAGGAGGAACACCGGUGGCGAAGGCGACUUCCUGGACCAAUACUGACGCUGAGGCGCGAAGGCGUGGGUAGCAAACAGGAUUAGAUACCCUGGUAGUCCACGCAGUAAACGGUGAACACUAGGUGUAGCGGGUAUUGACCCCUGCUGUGCCGAAGUUAACGCAUUAAGUGUUCCGCCUGGGAAGUACGGUCGCAAGAUUAAAACUCAAAGAAAUUGACGG
rnacentral:rRNA from 1 species